rnacentral:rRNA from 1 species
GAUGAACGCUGGCGGCGUGCCUAAUACAUGCAAGUCGAGCGAACGGACGAGAAGCUUGCUUCUCUGAUGUUAGCGGCGGACGGGUGAGUAACACGUGGAUAACCUACCUAUAAGACUGGGAUAACUUCGGGAAACCGGAGCUAAUACCGGAUGAUAUUUUGAACCGCAUGGUUCAAAAGUGAAAGACGGUCUUGCUGUCACUUAUAGAUGGAUCCUCGCUGCAUUAGCUAGUUGGUAAGGUAACGGCUUACCAAGGCAACGAUGCAUAGCCGACCUGAGAGGGUGAUCGGCCACACUAGAACUGAGACACGGUCCAGACUCCUACGGGAGGCAGCAGUAGGGAGUCUUCCGCAAUGGGCGAAAGCCUGACGGAGCAACGCCGCGUGAGUGAUGAAGGUAUUCGGAUCGUAAAAGUCUGUUAUUAGGGAAGAACAUAUGUGUAAGUAACUGUGAACAUCUUGACGGUACCUAAUCAGAAAGCCACGGCUAACUACGUG